rnacentral:rRNA from 1 species
GUUUGAUCCUGGCUCAGGAUGAACGCUGGCGGCGUGCCUAAUACAUGCAAGUCGAGCGGUAAGGCCACUUCGGUGGUACACGAGCGGCGGACGGCUGAGUAACGCGUAGGAACGUACCCCAAACUGAGGGAUAAGCACCAGAAAUGGUGUCUAAUACCGCAUGUGGCCUAAGGGCUAAAGCUUCGGCGGUUUGGGAACGGCCUGCGUCCGAUUAGCUAGAUGGUGAGGUAAUGGCUCACCAUGGCGACGAUCGGUAGCUGGUCUGAGAGGAUGAUCAGCCAGACUGGGACUGAGAACGGCCCAGACUCCUACGGGAGGCAGCAGUAGGGAAUUUUCCACAAUGGGCGAAAGCCUGAUGGAGCAACGCCGCGUGCAGGAUGAAUGCCUUCGGGUUGUAAACUGCUUUUAUCUGUGACGAAUAUGACGGUAGCAGAUGAAUAAGGAUCGGCUAACUCCGUGCCAGCAGCCGCGGUCAUACGGAGGAUCCGAGCGUUAUCCGGAAUUACUGGGCGUAAAGAGUUGCGUAGGUGGCAUUGUGUGUCGGUAGUGAAAGCGUGUGGCUCAACCAUAUAUACAUUAUCGAAACUGCAAGGCUAGAGGACGAGAGAGGUUAUUGGAAUUCCAAGUGUAGGAGUGAAAUCCGUAGAUAUUUGGAGGAACACCGAUGGCGUAGGCAGAUAACUGGCUCGUUCCUGACACUAAGGCACGAAAGCGUGGGGAGCAAACGGGAUUAGAUACCCCGGUAGUCCACGCCGUAAACUAUGGAUGCUAGCUGUAAGAGGUAUCGACCCCUCUUGUAGCGAAGCUAACGCGUUAAGCAUCCCGCCUGUGGAGUACGGUCGCAAGACUAAAACAUAAA